GGGUCGCUGGCUCAAUGGUAGAGCAACGGACUCUUAAUCCGUCGGUUACAGGUUCAACUCCUGUGCGACCCA
rfam:Elusimicrobia bacterium RIFOXYA2_FTLL_40_6 rifoxya2_full_scaffold_1143, whole genome shotgun sequence.